GCAUAUUACAUUUGAUACAUUGUACCUGAUAUAUUUUACAGAUCAUUCUAAGAAAUUGACUUGAUCAGCAAGUUGGUCUUAACAGCUGGUGCAGGGUGCUCACAACAUGAGAUGGGUGUGUAAAAUAUUAGAGAUGGAAAGAAUGGACUUGCUCAAGGAAAUAAUGAAGAAAAACAAUGACAAGAUAAUUCGUGAAAAAAUGGAGAAAUCCUUCUCCUAUCGAAGACUACAAGUAGCCAAGCUUUGCCCUCCCAUCCAAGACUUCAUUGAGAGAUGGCCUGCUCUGUUCUGUGAAGCUCAGCCACUUGUGUCCUCAAACAUGACACUCAGUGAAAUCCAAGCGAAAACUUCAGAGGGCCCGCAGUAAAAAGACUCGGCACUGGGAUGAUUUAGACCUUCUUUGGAUUUGUGCCAGAACAGCAUGCAUUAACAUAUGAGAAAGAAGCACUCACUUAAAGAGGCAGCGAGUGAAGACAUGGGAACUCAGACCCAAAUACAAGUUUUUUUUCUGUCUGAAGCAAUUUAGCGAAUGCAAUUUUCAGCUUGAUGCCAGAGCAGCAGGCAUGGUAGAUGACAGUUUGCACAGUUGUCAGUUUGCAUCUUGUAAUGUGCUACCACAGCAGCAAGCAUUCACAUAUUUUAUGUGCUCUAUCCUGCUGCAAUUUCAACACUCAGGAUGACAAAAUAUUCCACAAACAUCAGGAAUGUACAGGUCUUAGACGUUAAUGCGUCUCCUCAUUCAGCAGGGUGCUGUCAACCUGUUCUGAAAGUCUGACUGACUAAGCCCAUCUGGAACCUGUCUUGAUUAAUUCCUGUCUAUAAAAUGACACCCAACUGGCUUCAGCAUGCUUCAAAGAAUAUUGUCAGAUCAUCUUACUGAACCUGUAUGUAAGGUACUUCUGAGAAAUGUCAUGCUAAAGACUUUUUUGAAUGGGCUGGCUGUUGCUCAGCAUGUGUAAUGAUUCAUUUACUGACUGCAGGGUUGGCAGUUGGAUUCCAAGUGUCUUGAGUUUUACUCACUGAACACUGUCCAAAAGUGUGCACUGUUUACCCCAUUUAUACUGUUUAUUGCCUCUCAGGCUUUCAACCACGCAUUUUGGAGCAGGCAUAAAUACUUUUGCAAUUUAAGUGGGUUGACAUUUGUACAGUUUAGUUUGUUUUAAGCUAACUGAAUCCUUAAUGUACUAU